rnacentral:rRNA from 1 species
AACGAACGCUGGCGGCAGGCUUAACACAUGCAAGUCGAACGCACCGCAAGGUGAGUGGCAGACGGGUGAGUAACACGUGGGGAUCUGCCCAAUGGUACGGAAUAGCUCCGGGAAACUGGAAUUAAUACCGUAUGAGCCCGCAAGGGGAAGGAUUUAUCGCCAUUGGAGGAACCUGCGCCGGAUUAGCUGGUUGGGGUGGUAAAGGCGCCCCAAGGGGACGAUCCGUAGCUGGUCUGAGAGGAUGAUCAGCCACACUGGGACCGAGACACGGCCCAGACUCCUACGGGAGGCAGCAGUGGGGAAUAUUGGACAAUGGGCGCAAGCCUGAUCCAGCCAUGCCGCGUGAGUGAUGAAGGCCUUAGGGUUGUAAAGCUCUUUCGCCGACGAAGAUAAUGACGGUAGUCGGAGAAGAAGCCCCGGCUAACUUCGUGCCAGCCGCCGCCGUAAAAC